rnacentral:rRNA from 1 species
GACAGGGAACUUCAAGCAAAGCUUAAAACCCAAAGGACUUGACGGUGCCCCAUCUCCCCCUAGAGGAGCCUGUCAUAUAAUCGAUAAUCCCCGCUUAACCUCACCACAUCUAGCUUAUUCAGCCUGUAUACUUCCGUCGCAAGCCUACCACAUGAGCGAAACCUAGUUAGCCCAAUGUUUACACAUAAAUGUGCUUACAUCAACAACACGUCAGGUCAAAGUGCAGCAAACGAUGUGGGAUAAGAUUGGCUACACUUUUUAAUUUAAAAGAAACGGAAAACAAAAUGAAACUUUGUCAGAAGGUGGAUCUAGCAGUAAAAGAAAGAUAUCAAACUUCUUUAAACUCGGCACUGGGGCGUGU